rnacentral:rRNA from 1 species
UACGGGGGGGGCAAGCGUUGUUCGGAAUUACUGGGCGUAAAGGGCUCGUAGGUGGCCACCUAAGUCAGACGUGAAAUCCCUCGGCUUAACCGGGGAACUGCGUCUGAUACUGGAUGGCUUGAGUUCGGGAGAGGGAUGCGGAAUUCCAGGUGUAGCGGUGAAAUGCGUAGAUAUCUGGAGGAACACCGGUGGCGAAGGCGGCAUCCUGGACCGACACUGACACUGAGGAGCGAAAGCCAGGGGAGCAAACGGG